AGGUCUUUCGUAUAGUGGUAAGACUGGACGCUCCAAACGUCUUGACGGGAGUUCGAUUCUCUCAGGACCUGCCA
rnacentral:tRNA from 1 species